AUUUAUAUAGUUUAAAUAAAACAUUACACUUUCAUCGUAAAAAUAAAUUAUUAUUUUAUAAAUAAUUUUUAUAAAUU
rnacentral:tRNA from 1 species